GCGGUAAGGCCCUUUCGGGGGUACACGAGCGGCGAACGGGUGAGUAACACGUGGGCGACCUGCCCUCAGCUCUGGGAUAAGCCUGGGAAACUGGGUCUAAUACCGGAUAGGACCACAUGUCGCAUGGUGUGUGGUGGAAAGUUUUUUCGGCUGAGGAUGGGCCCGCGGCCUAUCAGCUUGUUGGUGGGGUGAUGGCCUACCAAGGCAACGACGGGUAGCCGGCCUGAGAGGGCGACCGGCCACACUGGGACUGAGACACGGCCCAGACUCCUACGGGAGGCAGCAGUGGGGAAUAUUGCGCAAUGGGCGAAAGCCUGACGCAGCGACGCCGCGUGGGGGAUGACGGCCUUCGGGUUGUAAACCUCUUUCGACCUUGACGAAGGCCUUCGGGUUGACGGUAGGGGUAGAAGAAGCACCGGCCAACUACGUGCCAGCAGCCGCGGUAAUGCGUAGGGUGCGAGCGUUGUCCGGAAUUAUUGGGCGUAAAGAGCUCGUAGGCGGUGUGUCACGUCGAUCGUGAAAACUUGGGGCUUAACCCUGAGCUUGCGGUCGAUACGGGCAUCACUGGAGUUCGGCAGGGGAGACUGGAAUUCCUGGUGUAGCGGUGAAAUGCGCAGAUAUCAGGAGGAACACCGGUGGCGAAGGCGGGUCUCUGGG
rnacentral:rRNA from 1 species